rnacentral:rRNA from 1 species
CAGUAGCGUAUAUUAAAGUUGUUGCAGUUAAAAUGCUCGUAGUUGAAGUUCGGAUGCAGCAGAGCUUGGAAACGCUGUUAUGGUGCUUCCGUUGCUUUUGCUUGUCCACAGUGCGUUGCAAGUACGUAUGUGCUUGUGCGUGCAUUUUACUUUGAGAAACAUAGGGUGUUCCACGCAUGUUACGGCAUGAAUAUUCCAGCAUGGGAUAAUCUGGUACGACUUCCAAUCUGCCAUUUUGGUUCGUAGGUUGGAAGUAAUGAUUAAGAGGGACAGUCGGGGGCAUUCGUAUUCCGUUGUCAGAGGUGAAAUUCUUGGAUUUACGGAAGACGAACAUCUGCGAAAGCAUUUGCCAAGGAUGUUUUCAUUGA